rnacentral:rRNA from 1 species
AUUGAACGCUGGCGGCAGGCCUAACACAUGCAAGUCGAGCGAGCGGCGGACGGGUGAGUAAUGUAUGGGGACUGCCCGAUAGAGGGGGAUAACUACUGGAAACGGUGGCUAAUACCGCAUACUCUCGGAUAACCCAUAUGGGAUUAGCUAGUAGGUGGGGUAAAGGCUCACCUAGGCGACGAGCUCUAGCGGUUCUGAGAGGAUGAUCAGCAAGACUGUGACUGAGAAACGGCCCAGACUCUAAGGGAGGCAGCAGGGGGGAAUAUUGCACAAGGGGCGAAAGCCGGAUGCAGCCAUGCCGAGUGUAUGAAGAAGGCCUUAGGGGUGUAAAGUACUGUCAGCGGGGAGGCGUUACCCGCAGAAGAAGCACCGGCUAACUCCGUGCCAGCAGCCGCGGUAAUUC